CUUGCCAAUAUCAAUUUCCAGUUGCACCAAAAGUCUGUAUACUUUCAUGUGAACAAAGAUGUGAAUGUGAUCGAAAUCAGGGAUUGAUAAGAGAUAAACAAUCUGGAGAAUGUAUUGACAUUGGAAAAUGCGAAGACAGAUGCAGUAGAAAUCAAUUUUGGGGAUGCAGACAAUGUUGUCCAGAAGCAACUUGUGACAAUCCCAAUCCUCCUCCAUGUUCAAGACCAUGUCCUAAAAUAUGUAUAAACGAAUGUUUGUGUAACAAAGGUUACGUAAGAAACACCAGAACCGGAGAAUGUGUCUUAUCAAGGCAGUGCCCGAGACUUGUGGGAUAAUCUCAACUUGAUACAAGAUAAAAACUAAAAAUGUGUAUUCGUUCCGUAAUUAAAAAAUUAAUGUCAAUAAAGAGAAAUGUAACUGCUUGCC
rnacentral:lncRNA from 1 species